rnacentral:rRNA from 1 species
GUACGGGAGGCAGCAGUGGGGAAUCUUGCGCAAUGGACGAAAGUCUGACGCAGCCACGCCGCGUGAGUGAAGAAGGCCUUCGGGUUGUAAAGCUCUGUCGGGAGGGACGAAAAUACUUGGGGUUAACAGCCCCAGGGACUGACGGUACCUCCAAAGGAAGCACCGGCUAACUUCGUGCCAGCAGCCGCGGUAAUACGAGGGGUGCAAGCGUUGCUCGGAAUUAUUGGGCGUAAAGGGUAGGUAGGUGGUCUUAUUUGUCUGGGGUGAAAUCCUUGAGCUUAACUCAAGAAGCGCCCCAGAAACGGUAAGACUAGAGUCUUGGAGAGGGUCGUGGAAUUCCCGGUGUAGCGGUGAAAUGCGUAGAGAUCGGGAGGAACACCAGAGGCGAAGGCGGCGACCUGGACAAGUACUGACACUCAACUACGAAAGCGUGGGGAGCAAACAGGAUUAGAUACCCCUGUAGUCCG